rnacentral:lncRNA from 1 species
AAACAAAUUUUUCCAGAUGAUCAAAAUCCACAUAAAGAUGGAAGCAAUUUUUCUCAAGACAGCACAACAACAAGGUUGAAUUAACUCCAUACAUUUUAGACUGACACUGGUACCUCAUGAGCAUAAUACAGAUAAACACCGGCAAGGGCACAAAUGUUUCCUUCUGGAGAUUGUACAAGCAGGACAAACAGAUGAACUAAUUUUCAGUCUGAAACCAAAUUCUUUCCAGAUGAUCCAAACCACAAGACGAUGGCUAGCAACAAGGUUUAAUCAACCCCACCUUAUGAUCAUAGCAUAGGAGGGGUAUGUGAAGAAGAUUAAACAGCAAACCCAAGUUAACAACAGCAACUUCAUUGUUCUCCAAGACAGCAUAGCAACAAGGUUUAAUUAACUCCAUUCAUUUGAGACUGACACUGAUGUCUUAUGAUCAUAGCGCAAUAAAAGGAGAUAAUCUGAAGCUUAAACAUAUCACUGGAGGAAGACAAGAAGAGCAUAUUAUGGGGGCUACUACUCGAACUUCUUGAUGAGGGAGAGGUCGUUGAGCAUCUUGUCGACCCGGUCGUCGCUGUCGAACCUGCCGCCGGGGACGAGGGAGGGGACGAGCGCCUUGGCCUCGUCGGCGGUGUCGGGGCAGAGGUUCCCGAGGGUGCAGAGCUCGAACUCGACGAGGCUGUAGCGGGAGAGCGUCUCGCGGACCUGGCGGACCGCGUCGGGGUUCUUGUAGCGGCUGAAGCGCUUGACGUAGGCCUGCGACUUCUCGAAGACCUGCGAGACCUGGUCGGCGCCGCCGUCCGACAUGUGCUGCAGCUGCUCCCACUUGUGCUCCAGGAUUAUCGCCACCUCGCAGUUCAUCAGGCACUUGGCCUUCAG